AUACGUAGGGCGCGAGCGUUGUCCGGAAUUACUGGGUGUAAAGGGCGCGUAGGCGGCCCGGUAAGUCUGGAGUGAAAGUCCUGUUUUUAAGAUGGGAAUUGCUUUGGAUACUGUCGGGCUUGAGUGCAGGAGAGGUAAGUGGAAUUCCCAGUGUAGCGGUGAAAUGCGUAGAGAUUGGGAGGAACACCAGUGGCGAAGGCGACUUACUGGACUGUAACUGACGCUGAGGCGCGAAAGUGUGGGGAGCAAACAGGAUUAGAUACCCUGGUAGUCCACACUGUAAACGAUGAAUGCUAGGUGUAGGGGGUAUCGACCCCUUCUGUGCCGCAGUCAACACAAUAAGCAUUCCGCCUGGGGAGUACGGCCGCAAGGUUGAAACUCAAAGGAAUUGACGGGG
rnacentral:rRNA from 1 species